AUUGAACGCUGGCGGCAGGCCUAACACAUGCAAGUCGAACGAGUGGCGGACGGGUGAGUAAUGUCUGGGAAACUGCCUGCUGGAGGGGGAUAACUACUGGAAAAUGUAGCUAAUACCGCAUCCCAUCGGAUGUGCCCAGAUAGGAUUAGCUAGUAGGUGGGGUAACGGCUCACCUAGGCGACGAUCCAUAGCUGGUCUGAGAGGAUGACCAGCCACACUGGAACGGAGACACUGUCCAGACGCCUACGGGAGGCAGCAGUGGGGAAUAUGGCACAAUGGGCGCAAGCCUGAUGCAGCCAUGCCGCGUGUAUGAAGAAGGCCUUCGGGUUGUAAAGUACUUUAAGCGGGGAGGCGUUACCCGCAGAAGAAGCACCGGCUAACUCCGUGCCAGCAGCCGCGGUAAUUC
rnacentral:rRNA from 1 species